CUGAGAUCUCUUAAGGUAGCCAGUUACCCCAGUGAAGGAUGCUGUCGUCACCAGGGUUGAAAGAAGCUUCAGGUGCCAGUUCAGUUGGAUGCUUUACGUAGAAUGAGAAGGCAGCCUCUAGUCCAGCGGUUCUCAACCUGUGGGUUCCCAGAUGUUGUUGGACUACAACUCCCAUCAUCCCUGAGCUCUGGCCUUGCUAGCUAGGGGCGAUGGGAGUUGUAGUUCAACAACAUCUGGGGACCCACAGGUUGAGAAAGGCUGCUCUAGUCCUUUGCUAGCAAAUUGUUGUGUUUCACAUCUGUAAAGUCCUAGCAAUGUUUGGGAUUCAGCAAUUGAGUCCCAUAAGCAGAAGCCCUAUGCAAGGACUUACCCAGAUGAUUACCCAGUGGGGCUGUCCCCCCAUGUGUCCCCCAAAAUUGGGAAGGGGAGGGGGGAUUGUUUUAUCUGGCAAGCUGCAAUGUUUGUCCUGGCAGAAUGAUAGACAUAGUGCAAUGUAGAAUUCCUCCCAGCAUUAAAUCAGUUAAACUAAUAGUCAAGAGCAGGGGUCAGUGAACUUUGUCAGCAG